CUGUCAGUACUUGAGGGUCAUCUUCACCCUCAAUGAUGGACCCAGCAGGAAAGGAGAAAAAAGCAGUUGCACAUAUCACUCCUGCUUAGAUAUAAUUGGAAAAAUUUAGAUGAUGACAACUAGCUGCAAGAGAGGCUGAUAAUUAUAAUCUUUAUUCAAGGUGGCCAUGUGUCCAGCUAAAAUUUGAAGAGUCUACUGUAGAAGGAAGAUGGAGAGAAGAGACAAAGAUUGUGAGUUUUCCCUACUACAAUCAUGUCAUCCAAAUACAACUAGUAUUUCGAUCCGAGAGAUCCGAAAAAUCAUUGAUUUUGUUCCUCAUUCAAGUCAUCUCACUGCCAACAAAAGAGGAGUUUAGAAGUUUACAAAUCUCCUCAAGAAACAAAAAAAAGAAAAGAAACAAAAUAAAAUUUAAUUGGAAAAACUUCUAAUACCUCAAGAUCCAUCUAUAUCCUAAUGCGAAACAGGAUAUUUCAAAAGGCAGAUACCAUCUACUUCAUAGCACAGCACUCUGCACACUGUGGUUGCCCAAUAAAGAUUUUUGCAUACUCCA
rnacentral:lncRNA from 12 species